CGGUUUACACCCUCGCCCUCCCCCCUCUUGGGUGUGGAGCGCGGACCUGGCCCUCCCGGCUCGGCCUUCGCUUGCGAAGGUCUCCGGGUUGGCUGAAGCACAGAGGUUUGAGCAUGGACCCCGUUUGCAGGGCAAUGGCUUGGUAGGUAGGCACCCCCUACGCACGCCUGCCGUUGCCCGAGGGGACUUUGCUGGAGGCCCAGCAGGAAUCGGGGUUGGUUUCGGCCGCCCCGACUACUUACACCUUCGACCUGAGCUCAGGCAAGACUACCCGCUGAACUUAAGCAUAUCAAUAAGCGGAGGAAAAGAAACUAACUAGGAUGCCCUUAGUAACGGCGAGCGAACCGGGCAGAGCCCAACUUGAAAAUCUCCAGCCUCCGGCUGGCGAAUUGUAGUCUAGAGAAGUGCUCUCUGCACCAGUCUGGUCCCAAGUCCCCUGGAAAGGGGCGUCAGAGAGGGUGAGAACCCCGUUGGGACCGGAGCCUGGUGCUCCACGAGACGCUUUCGCAGAGUCGGGUUGUUUGGGAAUGCAGCCCAAAGCAGGUGGUAAAUCCCAUCUAAGGCUAAAUACAGACGGGAGACCGAUAGCGAACAAGUACCGUGAGG
rnacentral:rRNA from 1 species